rnacentral:rRNA from 1 species
UACGUAGGCAGCGAGCGUUGUCCGGAUUUACUGGGCGUAAAGAGCGCGCAGGCGGUCGUUCAAGUCGAGUGUGAAAGCCCCCGGCUCAACUGGGGAGGGUCAUUCGAUACUGAUCGACUCGAAGGCAGGAGAGGGUAGUGGAAUUCCCGGUGUAGUGGUGAAAUGCGUAGAUAUGGGGAGGAACACCGGUGGCGAAGGCGGCCACCUGGACGGUA